CAUGCUAAGUCGAGCGGUAGCACAAGGGAGCUUGCUUUCCUGGGUGACGAGCGGCGGACGGGUGAGUAAUGUCUGGGAAACUGCCUGAUGGAGGGGGAUAACUACUGGAAACGGUAGCUAAUACCGCAUAACGUCGCAAGACCAAAGAGGGGGACCUUCGGGCCUCUUGCCAUCAGAUGUGCCCAGAUGGGAUUAGCUAGUAGGUGGGGUAAUGGCUCACCUAGGCGACGAUCCCUAGCUGGUCUGAGAGGAUGACCAGCCACACUGGAACUGAGACACGGUCCAGACUCCUACGGGAGGCAGCAGUGGGGAAUAUUGCACAAUGGGCGCAAGCCUGAUGCAGCCAUGCCGCGUGUGUGAAGAAGGCCUUCGGGUUGUAAAGCACUUUCAGCGAGGAGGAAGGUGGUGAGCUUAAUACGUUCAUCAAUUGACGUUACUCGCAGAAGAAGCACCGGCUAACUCCGUGCCAGCAGCCGCGGUAAUACGGAGGGUGCAAGCGUUAAUCGGAAUUACUGGGCGUAAAGCGCACGCAGGCGGUUUGUUAAGUCAGAUGUGAAAUCCCCGGGCUCAACCUGGGAACUGCAUUUGAAACUGGCAAGCUAGAGUCUCGUAGAGGGGGGUAGAAUUCCAGGUGUAGCGGUGAAAUGCGUAGAGAUCUGGAGGAAUACCGGUGGCGAAGGCGGCCCCCUGGACGAAGACUGACGCUCAGGUGCGAAAGCGUGGGGAGCAAAACAGGAUUAGAUACCCUGGUAG
rnacentral:rRNA from 1 species